GGACCCCUAGUCACAGAAGCUAGGGAGAUGUCCACGGCAAUGCUGGAGCUGAGCAUAGACUAACCUCGCAGGUAGCCAAAAGCCACUUAAAUGGGUCUAAAAAAGGUUGCAUGAUCCAGGCAACUUCCAUCAAGGACUCAAGAAGUAAAGGUCCUAUUAAGUACAAAAAGAACUACCAUAUGUUCGCAAGAGAUGAGCAAGUGCUAAAAUAUGACAGAAACUGAAGGCAAUGUGAAAGCUUUAAUUCU